GAAAUGCGAUAAGUAAUGUGAAUUGCAGAAUUCAGUGAAUCAUCGAAUCUUUGAACGCACCUUGCACCCCUUGGUAUUCCGAGGGGUACGCCUGUUUGAGUGUCGUGAAAUUCCUCCACCCUUGGCCUCUGUUUUAUUUUACGGUGGGCCAAGUGGCUUGGGACUUGGGGGGACUCUUUGCGGAUUGCCACCUGUGCGGUGCAACAUCUGCUCCCCUGGAAUGCAUGAGUGAAAGCCCUGUCGGCAAGCGGCCUUGGUGUUGAUAACUGUCUACGCCUGUUGUGCCUGCAUCUCGACGGCAUUUGCUUCCAACCGUCCCGGAAGGGGGACAGCCUUCUCUUUUUUUGAACCUGACCUCAAAUCAGGCGGGACUACCCGCUGAACUUAA
rnacentral:misc_RNA from 1 species